AGCGAACGCUGGCGGCAGGCCUAACACAUGCAAGUCGAACGAAGUCUUCGGACUUAGUGGCGGACGGGUGAGUAACACGUGGGAACGUGCCUUUAGGUUCGGAAUAACUCAGGGAAACUUGUGCUAAUACCGAAUGUGCCCUUCGGGGGAAAGAUUUAUCGCCUUUAGAGCGGCCCGCGUCUGAUUAGCUAGUUGGUGAGGUAAAGGCUCACCAAGGCGACGAUCAGUAGCUGGUCUGAGAGGAUGAUCAGCCACAUUGGGACUGAGACACGGCCCAAACUCCUACGGGAGGCAGCAGUGGGGAAUCUUGCGCAAUGGGCGAAAGCCUGACGCAGCCAUGCCGCGUGAAUGAUGAAGGUCUUAGGAUUGUAAAAUUCUUUCACCGGGGACGAUAAUGACGGUACUGGAAGAAUAAGCACCGGCUAACUACGUGCCAGCCGCCGCGGUAACAC
rnacentral:rRNA from 1 species